rnacentral:rRNA from 1 species
AACGAACGCUGGCGGCAUGCUUAACACAUGCAAGCCGAACGAGACCUUCGGGUUGAGUGGCGCACGGGCGCGGAACGGGUGGGAACUGGCUCUUAGGCUGGGAAUAACUCCGCGAAAGGGGUGCUAAUAGCGGACUAAUUCUUCGGACGAAAGGUGUGACGCCCUUGGGUGGGGCCGCGUUGGAUUAGCUAGUUGGUAGGGUUAAAGCCUACCAAGGCGACGAGCCAUAGCUUGUCUGAGAGGAAGGUUCGCCACACCUGGACUGGGACACGGCCCAGACUCCUACGGGAGGCAGCAGUGGGGAAUAUUGGACAGUGGGCGAAGGCCUGAUCCAGCACUGCCGCGUGAGUGAUGAAGGCCUUAGGGUUGUAAAGCUCUUUUACCCGGGAUGAUAAUGACGGUACCGAGAGAAUAAGCUCCGGCUAACUCCGUG